GCCUUGCUAGCUCAAUCAGUAGAGCGUGAGACUCUUAAUGCAUCUUGGUAUCUCAAGGUUGCGAGUUUGACCCCCGCGUGGGGCU